UAAAGGAAUCAGCCUGAUGUCUCUUGUGGU
rnacentral:piRNA from 1 species